GAAGAAACAGAGGUAGAAUCGAAGAGAGAGAGAGCGUGAACGGAAGGGAUCCGGCAAUCGUCCAUGGUCGGCCACCAUGUUUUGGUGACCAUCUCUGUCUUUCGCCCCCCCCCCCCCGGGUUCUAGCCCGGUAGCGCCUACGGUUUCCAGUCAGAUUCGUUUACAAAUGAAUACCCUAAUCCAAUUCCGCCGCAUCCCUCGACGUCUCCCCUUCCUCCCUCUUCUCCCAGUUUCGAUUCCGGCGAACCCUCCAUCGGAAUCCACGCUUGAUGCUUGUCGUCUGAAAUUAGAGAUCUGACAGAUUGCAUGUACAAAUUUGGGUUUACUUGUGUUGAUUGUAGAUUCUGCAGUUUUAAAAGCUACUCGAAUUUGGUCUCCAUUCAGGAAUAGGCACACGUCGCCCAUCAAAUCAGAGAAAGCCUUCGGCGAAGGAGGAAGCCGACCACCAGUGACCAGGCCUUCGUAGGCAACGACAGUGGAAGACGGUCGCGAUAUGGUCAUCGACGAUAGUGUGUGACGCUAAUGGCUAGACGACAGUGGAAGACGGUCGCGAUAUGGUCGUCGUCAAUGGUGUGUGACGCUAAUGUAUAGAUAGUCGUUUAUGCCGGUGUAUGACGCUAUUGGCUCCAACGGGUCACAUAUAGUCUCAGAGGAAGGGCGAAGAAGUUGGAAUUCAUCAUGUCAAACAUCACCGUAAGUUAUAUCUUCUCCGCUCAAUUCUCCGAGAGGUGGCGAUUGCUUAGAGGCUUUGCUUGCAGCGACCUUUUUUUUGUUUGCUUUUGACGGAACCAUCGAGACCUAGGAGCUUUUACAAUCGACUGGAGGUUUUAAUUUGUGCAAAUGACCGCUCAUGAUGUAUCUUCUACGCGAUAUAUGACUAUAACUCUAUUGAAUUUGUGUAACAUUUGUAACAGGUUUACAUUUGCCUUGAUUGUGUGUGAUGAUUUGUCUAAGUGAAAACUACUAUCUGGUUUGGUCGUUGUAUCUGCAAGAAAAAAAAGCGAGGCUUUGUUCUUCUUUUCUUAUGUAUGUGACUUUGACAUAAGAUUUUCCCUCAACAAAAUGCGCCAAACCAGAAUUGGUAUAUACACGUUGAGUUAUAUGGUUUAAUUAAUUAUGAGAUCAAUCAAGGUUCAUGCCUUGUAUUUUUUGUAUCAUCAUAUAUUACUAGAUUGGGGAGAUUGGAGCUCCUUUGUAAAUAUGUAGUUUUGUUGUAGUGUUGGCUGGCCCGGUUUGGAUUGGCUUGCUGUUAAUGAAGUUUACUUUCAAAAAAAAAAAUAUAUUACUCUGCUAU
rnacentral:lncRNA from 1 species